rnacentral:rRNA from 1 species
AUUGAACGCUGGCGGCAUGCUUUACACAUGCAAGUCGAACGGUAACAGGCCGCAAGGUGCUGACGAGUGGCGAACGGGUGAGUAAUGCAUCGGAACGUGCCCAGUCGUGGGGGAUAACGCAGCGAAAGCUGCGCUAAUACCGCAUACGAUCUAUGGAUGAAAGCGGGGGACCGUAAGGCCUCGCGCGAUUGGAGCGGCCGAUGUCAGAUUAGGUAGUUGGUGGGGUAAAGGCUCACCAAGCCAACGAUCUGUAGCUGGUCUGAGAGGACGACCAGCCACACUGGGACUGAGACACGGCCCAGACUCCUACGGGAGGCAGCAGUGGGGAAUUUUGGACGAUGGGCGCAAGCCUGAUCCAGCAAUGCCGCGUGCAGGAAGAAGGCCUUCGGGUUGUAAACUGCUUUUGUACGGAACGAAACGGUCCGGGCUAAUACCCUGGGCUAAUGACGGUACCGUAAGAAUAAGCACCGGCUAACUACGUGCCAGCAGCCGCAGUAACAC